GUGUGAAAAACUCCGGUGGUAUGAGAUGGACUCGCGUCUGAUUAGCUAGUUGGCAGGGUAACGGCCUACCAAGGCGACGAUCAGUAGCCGGCCUGAGAGGGUGAACGGCCACAUUGGGACUGAGACACGGCCCAAACUCCUACGGGAGGCAGCAGUGGGGAAUAUUGCACAAUGGGGGAAACCCUGAUGCAGCGACGCCGCGUGAGUGAAGAAGUAUUUCGGUAUGUAAAGCUCUAUCAGCAGGGAAGAAAAUGACGGUACCUGACUAAGAAGCCCCGGCUAACUACGUGCCAGCAGCCGCGGUAAUACGUAGGGGGCAAGCGUUAUCCGGAUUUACUGGGUGUAAAGGGAGCGUAGACGGCUUUGCAAGUCUGACGUGAAACUCCGGGGCUCAACUCCGGAACUGCGUUGGAAACUGUAAGGCUUGAGUGCCGGAGAGGUAAGCGGAAUUCCUAGUGUAGCGGUGAAAUGCGUAGAUAUUAGGAGGAACACCAGUGGCGAAGGCGGCUUACUGGACGGCAACUGACGUUGAGGCUCGAAAGCGUGGGGAGCAAACAGGAUUAGAUACCCUGGUAGUCCACGCGGUAAACGAUGAAUACUAGGUGUUGGGGGACAAAGUCCUUCGGUGCCG
rnacentral:rRNA from 1 species